UUCAGAUCAUUGGUUCACAAAUAUUUUUACAGUGUUGGCUCUUUGACUGGUUUUAGAGCAAGACUUGUUUUGCAUUAGGAUGGUAUGACCAAGUGCCCAGACAACAGCAGGGGCAAACACCUUGAUCAGGACUGAGACAAGACAGGUUUUGAAAAGAAAGUGGAGAAGCGUUUAGGUCACAAGGUAGGGUGCGAACUCAUAUGGACUUGAGGCAAAUCCUGGGAGCUGCCAGCCAUAAAAGCCCCAACACAGCACAGCAACUCAGCAUCUUCAAAAUGGCGCUGGUGGCAGCUCCCACAGAGGAUGUUUUCCCGCCUUAUCCUAACGGCUCCGUAGCACCGGGCAACAGCGGGCCCCAGUUGUUCAGUGACCAACGCGCUGCCGGUGUACAUCGGUCUGAGGUGCCGCAAGCACUGACAUUGCCCCACAGCCUCCGUGGAGCUUCCCGUCCUCCUCCACCGCUGUAGACCAGAUCCUGGACAAACGCUGCGCCAGGAGGCCGCUGCGCCCGCCGGAGCGUCUUUCCCUCGGUCUCCACCAGAGGGGGCUCCGGCUCUUCUGCCCAGGCAGCUCGAGUCUGUAUUUACUUCCAGUCCCCAUGAAUUCACUGGAAGAAUGGAUGCCAUUAGAGCUACCCAGCUUAUGUGUCCCGAGGAUCUCUUGCAGUUUCCUCACCAAAAUCUCUUUGGAUUCCUUUUGAUACGAAAUAGUUUAUUGCUGUGAUACGACAAAAUCCUGUUUACUUAACGUGCAGGUCACACCAGUUAUGGAAUAACACUUCUGAGUUUGAAGAUUAGUGAAGUGAAGAUUAGUGAUUUGUCUCCCUGGUCUGCAUGUUGUCUUUUUCAAUGCUACUCUUUGUACGUUGGAACCGUUGAACCAUUGUUGGAGCAUUUUAUAUACCAAUCUUCUUCUAUAGUAUUGCAAUUACAGAAAGCGUUACGCUUUUUGAUGUAAGUUAAAUAAAAGCUUAAAACUAUAAAAGUCCUUUCUUCCAAAAAUUAAUGACCAAGUACUGUACCUAAAAUAAGAAGUGCUUUGAUAUGAGAUGCAUUUGUUGGCUUUGAUUCAUUUUGAUAUUAUCUGGUGCUAUUAAAGGGACUAUUCUCCUUUUGGCUGGGGUUGACUUGCAGUCAGCCUGACUUAUCCGACUGCAAGAUAAGAACUCACCUAGGAGCUUAGCCUGGCUUCCUCUGUCACUGAGACAGGCACUAACAUGAUUCAUCUUGCAUGUUUUCAGCAGCAAGUCUAAGGUAAGACAUUGCAGUCCA